rnacentral:rRNA from 1 species
AGUGAACGCUGGCGGUAGGCCUAACACAUGCAAGUCGAACGGCAGCACAGUAAGAGCUUGCGCUUACGGGUGGCGAGUGGCGGACGGGUGAGGAAUACAUCGGAAUCUACUUUUUCGUGGGGGAUAACGUAGGGAAACUUACGCUAAUACCGCAUACGACCUAAGGGUGAAAGCAUGGGAUCUUCGGACCUUGGGCGAUUGAAGGAGCCGAUGUCGGAUUAGCUAGUUGGCGGGGUAAAGGCCCACCAAGGCGACGAUCCGUAGCUGGUCUGAGAGGAUGAUCAGCCACACUGGAACUGAGACACGGUCCAGACUCCUACGGGAGGCAGCAGUGGGGAAUAUUGGACAAUGGGCGCAAGCCUGAUCCAGCCAUGCCGCGUGGGUGAAGAAGGUCUUCGGGUUGUAAAGCCCUUUUGUUGGGGAAGAAAAGCAGCAGGUUAAUACCCCGCUGUUCUGACGGUACCCAAAGAAUAAGCACCGGCUAACUUCGUG